rnacentral:lncRNA from 1 species
CUCUACUCUGUGGCCUCACACAGAAAGUGACACGCAUGCGCAGUUACUUAAACUUUUUAAGGCGCCAUGAUGGAAUAUGAUGGAGUCCAGUGGAGUCAACACACGAAAUAAAACAGAGAAAUAGAACCACUGAGCAAAACAUGAUGCUCUGACAUGAUGUUUGUACCAAAAUAAAUUGUGGGGAUUCAUUGAUAAGGAAGAAGGAUUCAAGGAAGAUCUACAAACUGAAUUUCGCGUCGAUCGCCUGGUAUCACCGUUCGGAUCAUCGGAUGUGUUCUGUAAACCAAAAGGUCUGGAAGCGUUGUUUUGUCUCUGGUUGCUUCUAUUUAUGUCUGUUGUUUUGUGGCGUUGCAUAGGUUUGAUGUGAUAAUAUUUCGUCUUUAUUUUGGCAAUUUCGAUACUGCCUUCUUUUAGAUUUUAAUAUUCCUUUUUUCUUGACAAAGUCUUUAUAAAUACUAAAAUGUCUUGCUGUUCUUUCAAAUUUUCAUGUUUGUUCUGGUUCAACAAGCUAAACCCAGGAGCCAGAAUGCAGACUUGCACUUGUAAAAACAGAGUAUAACACUAAUCCCCUGCUUUUAUGUUAUAUAGGUGGGUUUCAUGCAAUCCCCAGAGGUUUUAACACUGUAAACUAGGCAGAUGGAGGUCAAAUAAUGACAUUCUAAUGCACUUGUCAUUGGAAACCCCCACCUUCCUAACAUUGGGGGGACACACGGGGAAUUAGACUUUUGGAAACUAUUGGGUCGUUCCAGAAAAGAUCCACACUCCCCCCACGGACGAAAUUUCUGCCAUCCGGUGGGGGAGGGGAGACAAAAUUGUUUUUGAUAAUAGUAAAUGUAUUAGGACAUCCGAAUGGGGUAGGGGGGUUAACUUCCAAUUUCUUCCGUGGGGGUGGUAUGGAUGUUUUCUGGAAUGACCCAUUGCAAAAAAAUCCCCACCCAUACUGUAGGUGCAAGCAAAACAAGCAAAAGCUGUAUGAAAGUCACAUCCACAACAAGUCAUAUACUAAAACUUUAAAAGUGCCUGCCAAAAGUGUAAUAUUUUAAGUUAUGACAUAAUGGUAAAAAUUAGCUGAUACAUAUAAAGUGCAAUAUGAGGAAUAAUGGCUUCUUGUGCAAUUGAGAAAACUUAUUUAUAUAAUUGUUUAUUGUACAAGUGCUGAGAUUUCAGUAUAAUUAAAUUAAUAGGCAAAUUAUGUUCAUAAUUUUGCCAAACAAGCACCAUGUUGGCUUUCUGUCUGACUGCAAGUAUUGCAUUGAACAGCAUUUAAUUGGUCAUAUAGUGUAAUUUAGCUGAAGUUGUAUUAGCUAGGCUGUCUAAGUUUGAUCAUUAGAGUCUCACUACUUAUGUACUAUUUAAAGCAUGUGUAGAAGUGCUUUAUUUCCAUUAUUAAAAUUAAUGAGUUUUUUAAGUAUUGUUUAAUAAAUGAGCAGGAGUGUUUUAUUAGGUUUAAAGACACAAGCGCGCAGCGUGAGUGGCUUUAGACCUAAUAAAACACGACCUGCGAGUUUAUUAAACAGCUUCAAACACAACUACAAAUUCAAUAGAUAUACUGCCUUAUUAGUAUUCUUUAUAUAAAAUAUACUAAUGAGGACACGAC